UGAGACGAUUCCUUGAGCGCUUCAGCCAGCAUGUGGAGAGGAUUGUGUUUGUGGUGAACAGCAUAGAUGUGAGCAUAUAUGAGAUCCUGCUGCCGCUCUAUUUCCCUAGAACAACGCAGGAUGAGGACUGCAGCUGUUGCUUGUUGCCUAAUGAUCUUGGAGACGAGUUGGGAGAGCCGCUAAUCCCAGACAGGCAGAUUCGGAUUAUUGACAAUCCACAGCAUAAAUAUGAAGCCCUAGAGGAGAGAGAGAGAGUGAGUUGCAAUCUAGAUUCUGACAAGACUCUUGGUCCGAGCUGCCGGGAAAGAUAGUGGUAUGUGUUCCCCUCGGCAGCCUGUAUGUGGAUGAAGCUUGGCAUGUGUAGCAGGUCUUAGUUAGCCUUCUCGUUUGUUGCUGUUGUUUGCAUAGCUGUUUAGUUCUCUUGUUGUUGGAUGGCAUCUGCCCCCUUUGGCUUUCUUUUGUCGUUGUUGUUUUAUAUUUUUUUAUCAAAUAGAUAAAUGGUAUUGUAUUUGUUUGUUUGCCUGAUGUCCAACGAUAUAAAAGUGUUUGUAUAUUUUAUGCUGUAAUUUAUAUUGUGAUUUGGAUGUUUGCAUGAGUGACUAACAAAAUUGGAAUGCAGGAUUGUGUAUAGAGAUUUUAGUGUUGACAUUUUUAAUGUUAUUUUUAUCUUUAAAAUAGUCUUGUCUAUUGUUACAUAAGUAGAGUCUUGAGAAGUAAGAUAAAUAAAUAAAGGUGACGCAUGCUUUUCUUCUAUCUCUCUCUUAGCAAAACAUGCUAUUAUUUUUUUACAUCUUAUGUCAAAGGAUGAAGAUGGUAAACAGAAAAUUUUAAAAGAUAUAUUUUAAAACAAAUGGAGAAGAAUUGAUACUGCUUGCUGAGCUUACAGGUUUGUGAAGCUUUUCUGGUUUGCUUGCAGGCAGUGAAACAUUGAUGACCUGUAUGUAUUUUUAGUUACUUAUUUGUAUCUAUUACAUCACAUUAUUUUUGUUAUUUGGGGGGUUAGACAUAUAUGUAUUAUCUAUGACCAGUGAUUCCUUCAUAAUUAUUGGUGAGUUGGUUAUUUGUGUAUUUUUUAAGGGGGAGCAGUAUGAUGUGUGAUGGUCUGUGAAGACUUGCUUCAAAGGGAAAUGGGAUUUAAAUGUUAUUCAGGACUUCACUUUGUUGUAAAGUAGUUACUUCAUGAAAUAACAUUUAUGCAUAUAUGGAGGACUUAAACAACUAGACAAUAAAACACAUACACAUGCACAC
rnacentral:lncRNA from 1 species